UAAUCAGUCCCCUGAUUCUAUAACUAAAUUUGUUACUGCAACAUCUACAGCUACAUUGAAAUGUACGCCUUCCAGUUCUCCACUAGACAAUUAUAUUCACUGGUAUAUGCAGAAACCAAACAAAGAACCAAAAAGAAUUCUCUAUAUUUCGGGAGAAAAUAAGCUAUAUAGUGAUGGAAAUAACAAUGAAAAAUAUGUUUCAGAAAGAAGAGGAACUGAAGUUUCUUUAACAAUAAAAAGUUUAAAUACUGAAGAUUCUGGAACCUAUUAUUG